UACGUAGGGUGCGAGCGUUGUCCGGAAUUAUUGGGCGUAAAGAGCUCGUAGGCGGUUUGUCGCGUCGGCCGUGAAAACUUGGGGCUUAACUCCAAGCUUGCGGUCGAUACGGGCAGACUUGAGUUCGGCAGGGGAGACUGGAAUUCCUGGUGUAGCGGUGAAAUGCGCAGAUAUCAGGAGGAACACCGGUGGCGAAGGCGGGUCUCUGGGCAUUAACUGACGCUGAGGAGCGAAAGCAUGGGGAGCGAACAGG
rnacentral:rRNA from 1 species